GACGAACGCUGGCGGCGUGCUUAACACAUGCAAGUCGAACGGUAAGGCCCUUCGGGGUACACGAGUGGCGAACGGGUGAGUAACACGUGGGUGAUCUGCCCUGCACUUCGGGAUAAGCCUGGGAAACUGGGUCUAAUACCGGAGAGGACCACUGCCUGCAUGGGUGGUGGUGGAAAGCUUUUGCGGUGUGGGAUGGGCCCGCGGCCUAUCAGCUUGGUGGUGGGGUGAUGGCCUACCAAGGCGACGAUGGGUAGCCGGCCUGAGAGGGUGACCGGCCACACUAGGAGUGAGAUACGGCCCAGACUGCUACGGGAGGCGGCAGUGGGGAAUAUUGCACGAUGGGCGCAAGCCUGAUGCAGCGACGCCGCGUGAGGGAUGACGGCCAUCGGGUUGUAAGCCUCUUUCAGCACCGACGAAGCGCAAGUGACGGUAGGUGCAGAAGAAGGACCGGCCAACUACGUGCCAGCCGCCGCAGUAA
rnacentral:rRNA from 1 species